UACGUAGGUGGCAAGCGUUGUCCGGAAUUACUGGGCGUAAAGGGAGCGUAGGCGGUUUAUUAAGUGAGAUGUGAAAUACCCGGGCUUAACUUGGGAAUUGCAUCUGUGACUGCAUCGCUGGAGUGCGGCAGAGGGGGGUAGAAUUCCACGUGUAGCAGUGAAAUGCGUAGAGAUGUGGAGGAACACCGAUGGCGAAGGCAGCCCCCUGGGUCAAGAUUGACGCUCAUGCACGAAAGCGUGGGGAGCAAACAGG
rnacentral:rRNA from 1 species